UUGGUGUGUUCUCAGACUUUGCAUGUGCUUUCUUUGCUUCCAGUGCCCUCACCAACAGCUCGUUUUGGUCCCCAGCCUACCUUGGAGACUGUCUAGUGUCUCUGUGAGGACUGCUAGCAAGUUUGCCUCAUUCUCUUCAUCUAUCUUCUGCAGAAAGAGAAAAAAACAGAAGAUGUGAGUUGACCCUGGGAGGCAGGUAACACUAUGCAUCAACAUGUUUGACCAAAUGAGUGAACCAUACGUGAAAUCUAGAAUGCCCAUUCCAGAACACAAAGAUCAUGUCUUUCUCAAACUCCAAAUUCAUGUUUUGGUCCAAAUGACACAAUUAAUGAAUACCUCUACUCUACUAAUCUCUGAUGGUUGAGCUGCCUAAUUUAUCGAUUUGUUAUGUCAGUGCUAAAACUGCUGUAUGCAAUUCUUCUUGGUUACAGAAGUGUUUUCCACUUGCUCAUGUUUUCUUUCUUUCCCUGAGUAAAAGAAAAGAUUUAGAGAAUCUUGGACCUUGAGAGAAUUUUAACCAUCAAUUUCAUUUUCAGAUAUAGUGUUUGAAUCUCCUAUACAGCAUACCCCCCAAACUGUCUAGACAGCUCUUUAUUUGAACAACACCAGAAAGUGGAACUAUACUGAAAGCAACUAUACACUUUCAUGGUUUCAAUUAUAAUCUCAUCACUGAACACUCCAAAAUCAUUUAUUUAUUUUGCUCCCUGACAUCUCUCCCAACUUUAGUCAUAAAUCUCGAACUGCCUACUGGACACUUCUACUUCAUAAUAGCUCCCUCAUCCCCAAAACCCAAACUCUAUACCUUUCACAACAAAACUGCUAUUUCUUUUGACUUCUUUAGUUUGGGUAACAAUUCUUCAUACCCAAACUCUGGACGUAUUUUUACUCUUCUUUCUGUGAUCAGUCACUGAAUAAAGUCUUACUUUGUAAUGUUUGUUAAAUGCACU
rnacentral:lncRNA from 10 species